CCGGGGUGCCUGGAGCCGGGCGAGGACCCUGACUCCAGCUAGGCCCAUCAGCCGAUGAUACAGUGGCCCCAACAUAGCAACAUUUCCAUCUUCACACCGUUCUCCAUGUCAAGGCCUCCAGUCAUCUUCACAAGCGUGGCCUCCUGAGCUGUGAAAUGCUGCUCUUGCUCUGGGUGGCUCUCUGUGCUCCCUCUCCACAGAUGUACAUCUGCUUGCUGAUCCAUGACGUCCCCAAAUAUCGUGGGCACGGUAAUGCUGCUACAAACGUUGUCCUACAGACAUACGUUCUGACAUGGGUCAAGUGGCUCUCCUCGGCGGUCCUCCUCCAAAGGUGAUGCUAAGAUCCAAGCAGCCCUCCUCCUGGGAUCUCUGCUGUCACGAGUUCUUCACUUCUACUGGCAAAGACACAGGGACACAGUGUGCAGAGCUCACUCCUGACUGACUCAGCAGGAGCUGCACAGCCUUCCCUCUCACAUCCCCUGUGGGAGUGCCUAUGUCAUGAUCUCAACAUAGCUACAGACGAAGAAGCCAGGAAAUAGAGUUUUGUGUGUGUGUGUGCGUCCAGGAAGAGGAGAUACUAUGGGGGCACCAUUGUUUCCUCAACGCUCCUUUGGUAAUUUACCUGUUUACUCCUUUGCCCAUGUAUCCAUUGGGUUCUUAUCCUUUUCUUAUUAGUUUGCAGGAGUUCCUCAGGUAUCUGACAUACUAGGCCCCUUAUUUGUUUUAGACAUUACAAAUUCUUCCAAUCUGUUCUUGGCCUGUUAACUUUGUGGUAUCCUGCAUUAAACAAAAUUCUCAAAUUCA